UCCGUGGUGGCGACCUUACCCCGGCAUAAGCUGCAGGUCUCACUGGCCUUCUUGAAAAGCCCGGCUUGGCUAUUUGAGAAUGUUAUUUGCCGGACGCAAAGCUUCGUUGCCGGUCCUUUUGUUUUCUAUCUUUUGACGACAUAAGAUUGAUAAAUGCUAUCUGGAUGUGUUUCAAAUUUACCUUCUACUGUACUAGUAUCAUCAAUCUGUGAGUCUCCUUGAUUAUGGUAGAAAGGACAUCAAGAAGGUCGCCAGAAGAUAGAAAUUAAGGGGAUCGAGAACAAAGCUGCCACCAAGAAACAUUCUCAGAGUGUCAAGACGGGCUUUUCAUGAAGCCAGUGAGACUUACACCUUAUGGGGGUGAGGGGUGACCAUCAACUCAGUUGGAGAAGUUUAUCCUAUUGUGUUUUAAUGAAAUAUGUACACCGUGAUCAUGGGCCCUUUAAAAUUGCUUACUGCAAUCUGUUAUGGUUGUAAUCUCAUAAAAAAAUAUAUAGUAUGAUAAACAAUAAUAAAGUGGUUGUUUUUAUCUUUUUUUAGAUUUCAA